AAUGCCACGACAAAAGGGCAGCAAACUCGCGAGAGCUAGCAAAUCCCAUAAACCGUGGCUCAGUUCAGAUCGUAGGCUGCAACUCGCNUACGUGAAGUAGGAAUCGCUAGUAAUCGCAGGUCAGCAUACUGCGGUGAAUACGUUCCCGGGCCUUGUACACACCGCCCGUCACACCAUGGAAGUUGGCCAUGCCCGAAGUCGUUACUCCAACCCUUGUGGAGGAGGACGCCGAAGGUGGGGCUAAUGACUGGGGUGAAGUCGUAGCAAGGUAGCCGUACCGGAAGGUGCGGCUGGAUCACCUCCUAACAGGGAGACAACAAAAUGUUUAAUAUUAUUAUUUUGUCACCUUAGGUCGAUCGGUAUCUCACGUUCUUAAUUAAUUAAGAAUUUCAUUUCCUAAGUUUUUCUAGGUCACACCCAUUAUUUUUCCUGGGCCAUUAGCUCAGGUGGUUAGAGCGCACCCCUGAUAAGGGUGAGGUCCCUGGUUCAAGUCCAGGAUGGCCCAUAUCUCUAUGUUGGGGGUAUAGCUCAGUUGGUAGAGCGCCUGCUUUGCAAGCAGGAUGUCAGCGGUUCGAGUCCGCUUACCUCCACUGAUUACCACCUCUUCCAUAAUCUGUAGAAAGGAAAUCUUUUGAGUUGUGAUCAAAUUCUGAACGAAUCUAGCUUCCUGAUGAAAUCAUUAAGAUGCUGGACUCAUUGAAUUAAUUUCAUUGUUUUCAGAGAACCUUGACAACUGCAUAGAUUAUUUUUAAAGACAAUAAGCAUCUUUAAUGAUGCAGAUUUAUUAUUUGUGCGAAUGCAUUAAUAACAAUUCUAUUAAGCUGAUGCUUCAAUUUUGAAGUUAUUGGUCAAGCUACAAAGGGCUCACGGAGGAUACCUAGGCACACAGAGGCGAUGAAGGACGUGGUUACCUGCGAUAAGUCUCGGGGAGUGGAAG
rnacentral:misc_RNA from 1 species